UGGGUAGCCAGCCACCCAUGCAUGUUGACACAGCCAGCAGCGGGCACCCAUGGCACAUGGGGAUGGACCCAGGAGUGGAGGAUGACCCAAUAGGAUGAACGUUCAGCCCACUCACUGUUGACACCAGUGACACAGUAUUGACCAGAUCUCCUGGAAGUGCCCCCUGAUGCAGACCCAGUUGUUGGGUAGCCACCCAUGCACGUUGACACAGCCAGCACCGAGCACCCAGGGGGAUGGAACCAGGAAUGGAGGAUGGUCCAAUAGGGUAGCAUCAUGAAGGCAGUUUACCCCUGAAACUUUUUACAAAGGACCAUCAUCGUCAGAGAAGUUCCUUUAACCCUUUAUCUCCCAUAGCGGCCGUGAACGCCCGGCCACCUCUCUCCCAUAACGCCCGCCGACACCCGGAGUAUUUUCAUAGCUGAACAGAAGUCAUCAUGCAGUUUCUACAGCUUUCAC